AAACCAUGUUGAGGGUAGCGUUGAAUCAAAUCUUUAAACCUUUCUCAUGCUUCAUAGAGUGACUCAAAAUCAUUUUGCUUCAAUUGACUAAUCUCACUCCUGAGUUG